GUGGGGAAUCUUGCGCAAUGGGCGAAAGCCUGACGCAGCCAUGCCGCGUGAAUGAUGAAGGUCUUAGGAUUGUAAAAUUCUUUCACCGGGGACGAUAAUGACGGUACCCGGAGAAGAAGCCCCGGCUAACUUCGUGCCAGCAGCCGCGGUAAUACGAAGGGGGCUAGCGUUGCUCGGAAUUACUGGGCGGAAAGGGAGCGUAGGCGGACAUUUAAGUCAGGGGUGAAAUCCCGGGGCUCAACCUCGGAAUUGCCUUUGAUACUGGGUGUCUUGAGUGUGAGAGAGGUAUGUGGAACUCCGAGUGUAGAGGUGAAAUUCGUAGAUAUUCGGAAGAACACCAGUGGCGAAGGCGACAUACUGGCUCAUUACUGACGCUGAGGCUCGAAAGCGUGGGGAGCAAACAGGAUUAGAAACCCUAGUAGUCC
rnacentral:rRNA from 1 species